UGUUGAUGAAACCAUAAUGUUGGACGAUUUAUGUAUAAAAUAGUCGCAGAUAAAGCACUUAGUGAAUAUACUCAUGUUUGUAUUUAUUUGUUUGUGUGUGUGUGCGUAGAGACUUCAAGCCGUUGACAAAUCAAGAGCACUGGCAUGAGCCCAUUACACAGUCCGAGUCGACAGUGUGCGUAGCAAGCGACCCGGCGGCUGACUUCAGGUGGCAUGGAUUCAACUGCGGUGGACCAGAGGUGGCGUCCUUCAUCUGCGAAAUCCAAGUGCCAGACUGGGCGCAACGAGAUGGAUGCUUGCCAACGGCACUACCCUCGCUGACAGUCACCUAUUUGCCGGAGCAGAGCGCGGUUGAGCUUAUCUCUGAUUGCGGAUUAGAUGGCAGCCGUCGCGUCAUAUGCCAAGGCCACAGGAGUCGAGAAGCAGUGAUGAAAGAGCUGUCUUGCGAGAGCGUCACGGAGAGCCCCAUCGACGAGAAUGCCAUCACUGCCGAGAGCGAGCAAACACGACACAGAAGAGACACGGUGCAACCUUCAGAAGCAACUACUAUCCUAGCAGCAACUAUCCUCUCAGUGUCGACCCUUUCUCCGUCGACGAAAGCGGCCACACCAAAACCAACGACCAGAGCUAGCGUCACGGCGAAAGCAACAGAAUUGGCCCAGACCAAUACAAAAUCAUCAACCGAGGCAGCAGCAACUGUAAUGACAACAACAACAGCAACGACGACGACAACAGCAUCAGCAACGACUGCGGCGACAUUAGCACAUCAAAAAUCGGUGACAAUGUCAGCAACUAGUGGCGCACCUACCGUAAAUAGAGAAACCACCAAGAGCGAGAAACCAAGUGAGGCGACGCGAACGAAAGCGAUAGACUUCUCCGGCUCCUUGGAUUCAACGGAGGACGGCCACGAAAGCUCGGAAGCGCCGCAAGAGAUGUCCAUCGCCGAGGAACCAAUCAAACUCCGCGCUCAAGAAGUCUCACCGAGUCCCGACUUAAGCGAAGACCAACUCAAGAUGGAAAACAAGUCCGUCGAGAUGGACUCGCCCAACUCCAACUCAGUACAAAAAGUGACAGAGUCCUUCACCGUCCUUAAAGGGGGCUCGUACUGGCCCACUGGAGAUGACCAAAGGAGCAGCAUCGCCUCGGAGGAGAGCAUCGAAGAUCAGCGGAACCUAAAAGCACCCGUAAAAAACGCCAACAACACCACACAAGAGGCCGCCAACACAACCUCAAAGGCAGCAACACCAAAACCGUCCACGACAAAGGGCCCACACCCCGAAGAGAUCGAGCGGCGUAAAGCGGCGAUCUUAGCCCACAUUUCGGCAACCCUCCCACCGAAAGAGCUAAAGCUCGCACCCUGGAACCCUCUCCCUUCCGUCCAGGAGGUCGAAAGCAAAACACCCAUCGUUUCCACGCCGUCCCACCUGAAAGAAGAGUCGCACGAGAUCUUCGCCGAGAAAACCUCGAAGAAAGUCAAGAAGACGAUUCUGGGCUCCAAGUUGAACAGCUUCGACGUGACGACCCCUCCGCCGCGACACGAGAACUCCGUGCAGACGACCGUGAGCAAGUACAUCUGCAAGAAUCUACCUCCUGUCCUGCUCUACAGCAAGAACAGCAACGAGCCGGAGCAGGUGCUGACCUCGGGGAGCAUCGAGACUUACACCACUCCGGAAGAACACGGCAAGAAGCUCAAGAACAAACUCAAGCUGGCGCAGACCAAGAGCCACGUCGAGACCACGAGCAUGCGCACGGAGACCGAAGGAGCCACGAACGUAGCCGCGAGCACGGCGAAAUCGGAGACGACUCAAAAGGUCAACACCAUCACUACUUCUUCCGUGGCCGAGGUUGAUCCAAAGACGACGGUGGUGUUUUCAUCGGACGCGGAGGUUCUCAACAGCAUGGAGAUGACGACAAAGCUAGUCGUUAAGGACCAGCUCAAGCUGGAGGCAACGUCGACUGAGCCGUCGAUGAUGGCACCAACGACGGAGAGACACCACCGCGGAUUCCUCGAGUCCACUGACGACGUCCCCGAGAGACCCAAUCGGGGUCGGCUCCUCAUCCACCCGCAACACCAUUCCUUCUACCCGUACUUCCUGAAUAGAGUCCUAGGUUAAGUUGGCGGGGCCGUUCCGUCGCCCGUCAAAAUUGGUUAGGAUUUUAUACGCAUGUUUUCAGCGCUAGGUUUAAGUGUUUGAUACAGGCUUUUCCAUUGAGGUAGCGUAUUUUUCCCGGCCGGGUCGAUCUGAUCGGCAGCCAGUGCUGUUGUACAGCCGACUGAAAUUCGGUAAGAAGAAGAACUGGUAAAAGUUAAUGAAAGGAGCCGAAUUUUUCGGCAAAACAAGGAGGCUGCUUGUUAGUUCCUCGAAGGGACACCAUGAGCAUCGGUACACAGUUGGUCCCUUUCUUUGAAGAGAGAAAAAAAAUGAAUAAAAUAAAAUGAUUUUACCAUUUGAAAUCUGAGAGGAAUUAAGUUGUGUAUUUGGUUCCUUUCACUGAAUUGAUUUGGUCCGUUUUGCAUUGUGGAGAGCGGAGCCGAGUUACUGAAAAUGUUUUAAUAAAAUGAAAAUGUUUUCGAUGGCUUCGAUUUUCUUGAUCAGAAAGAAUAAAAAAAAAUCUGCAAUUGACCAAGAUAGAAGUUUGAAAGCGAGCUUUCCUUUGUGAAAAUUUAGGUAAGUCCGAAAUGAUCAUCGUCCAGUUCAAUCUAACAAUUCGGCAAAUCAGGACCGAAAAUUAGAAAGUAAGGCUAAACAUUGAUGCUGAAAUACAAUUAUCGAAUACAGGCGGAGCUUUGUUAAGUUUCCGUAGGUUUUUUGUUUUUUUGCAUUUUUUAAAAAAGAAAUAAUGAAAGUAAAAUAAGGAAUAUGCUGCUCUUUUGUUUGAGCCAAAGAUUAAAAGGAAUCAUCAUACGUUUCAAUGUAUGCGUUUUAACUUCUUCAUUUCUUUAAAUUUUCUAUAGUUUUAUCUUACCUACCUAUGUUUACGUCGGAGAACGUGAUCAUUGUGCCAACGAGUGAUGUGAUAUACGAAUUUGAAUCUUCAAAAUGUUUCCAACGAGUUCAAGAAUGUGAACUCACAAUACAAAACUGUAACUAAAAUGUAUCAUUUAUGCUGAUCACUAUACUCGAUUUAUGCAUAAACAUUGUCUUAUUAUAGAGACGCAGUGAAAGAAAGAGGGCCGGUGGUAAACUUUCGGGUCUUAAAGGUAAGUAUCCUAAAAAAGCUCCUUUCAAGUUUGCUGAUUCGCAGUGAUCUUUGUCACGGUGCCAUUAUAAUUUCUUCCUAUACUCUUCAAUUACCUACAUGGGUUAAGUAUUGUUUAUUUAUGUGUUUUGUGUAAAGCUAGUCAUUAGAUGAGAAUCAUUCAAGGAAAAAUGUGCACAUAAAAAGAAUAUUUUUAUAGUUCAUCAAUUUAAUGUUUUAUUUUUUAUCUGUUUCUAUCAUGCUUUAUUAUUCUCUAUUAUUUAACUGGUAUGACUCAACCAUGUUUCAUAAUUUAAUUUAUUACUGUCUGCGCUCUCUCUUACUUGUGGACUCUUAAGGUAUAGCUAUCAAUUUGUUUUUUGCGGGAAAAGGGAGCAUAAAUUAUUUGAUGAGCUUGCCCUUUGAAUUUUUGUGCGUCCACUUUAGAUGUACUCGUAACUGUACCACGGACACCUUUGUUUAGAUAAAAGAGAAACACUAGAAUUGUGUUGACAAAGUACUUUAGUCCAGUAGUUUAAUACUUUGAACAACGUCUUGGUUUGAAGUGAACGCUCUGUCAUAGAUACAGGAAAGAAUAAUAUUGUUGAUGCCUCACAAAAUUUACAUCUGUAAUUUUAAGUCAACACCUAUGCAGAGGCUAUAUUUUUUGACUCAAAUAGUCUUCUUUUUUCUCUUAUUUUCUAAUUAUAUAGUUACUUUGUUAUUAAUUCAUGUCAGCCUGUACAGUAUUUAUCCCGUCCUUUCAGUAAAAUAUGAGUGCUUCAAAGAAAAUUGAUUUUCCUUUAGCGUAAGUUCUAUCGAGUUACAUAAACAAGAUUAUUAAAAAUCGCGCAGAGAAUGGAUGAACUUUGUCUUCCCCGUCCAAAGUCCGAUGAAAGUUCAUAAAUUUCUUUUACAAAAAAUUUCAGAUUUAUGUUAAUCAGAAUUUUUACAACAGUCUGCGAAAAUGUAUGAUCUCAUAUAUACCACUUUCUUCGCGAAUUUAGUGCUUGCUGUCAUACGAGUACAGCGAUGAGCAAAAUGUUGAAGAGGUAUUUCAAUUCACUUUUUUCAAAACAUUCCAGCUCUGAUUUUAUGCCCUCGAACCUGGCACGUGCUACCGGUUUGUUGUAUCCUUCAAUUGCGACCAAUAACGUACAGAGGACGAGUUAGUAACGAGUAUACUCAUCAAUGUUGCCCAAUUUUAUCCAGUUACCUACCGAUAAUUCUGCUCAUAAAUUAAUGAAUGAGUUAAACACUUGCCUUUCGGCUUUAUAACGAUUCACUUUUGCAUUUUUCGAUAAGGACAUUAAAGUAACGUAUUUUUAAACACGAUAAAAUUUCAAAUUAAUAUUUCAAGCCGGAAACAUAUCGACGGCGAAAUCCCCAAAUCACGUAUCUUUGUUUACGACGUUACAAAAUUUCUGUCAUACUUCGUUUUUUCAUUGAAAACCCAUUUAACGUUGCCCCCUAACAACUUAUGUGAUUUGUCUACUCUGCAUGCGGAAUUGUCUGUGAACAUUUGAAGGAAUCAUUGUGAUUCGUUAUUCGUACAAAAAAUGAAACAUGAAAGAGAUGUUGAUACAUCGCAAGCAAGAUACAAAGUUUGGUGCAUUGUCGGUACACUUAAUUUAUCAUGAGCUAAUAUUCCUAGUCCUUUGAAGUGAAGUACAAACAAGUAUGCACAAAGUGUGAAGUAUGCACAAAUAACAAGGAAUGAUACAUGUCCGUUGAAUGUUUAAAUUUAAUGGUCAUUUCUCUCUAUGGAUGUCCAAACAUUUGUUCAGCUUCCUCUCAUUUCCGUGUGAUCAAAUGUCUCUUGUUCCAUCCAACCGGUAAAAUGUAUUCCUUCCCCUCAAACAUAAGGUUGAUAAGCACGGUUGUGAAAAUUAAUGUAUUUUCUUUCAGUAAAAAGAGGUUUAUAAAUAAGACACAUAUUAUUGAAGGUACAAGCGCCAUAAAUUUUGCGAGUAUGGAAAUCGUGUGCUCAAUUUUUUUAUUCUUUAGAUAUACACUAAUCGUUUUACUAGCUAUACCCUUCCGUAUGGUCUCAUGAGUGUCAUAUGUAGUAGUAGACUAUUAGUUUUAACAAUUAUUUAGGUAAAAUAAUGCAUUGGAUGUGUCAAAUUUAGUUACCAUAAUUUUCUAAAGUUGUAUUUAGUACCUACUUGAAGUAACAGUACUUAAUAACAUUAAAAUUUCUUAACGACAGAAAUAAGGUUUAGUUUUUUACUCUCCUUUUAUCCCCCCCUUCCCCGGGAAAAGGUGUUCAAAAUAUGU
rnacentral:lncRNA from 1 species